UACGUAGGGGGCAAGCGUUGUCCGGAAUCAUUGGGCGUAAAGCGCGUGUAGGCGGCUCGAUAAGUCUGCUGUGAAAGUCCAAGGCUCAACCUUGGGAUGCCGGUGGAUACUGUCGAGCUCGAGUCCGGAAGAGGAGUGUGGAAUUCCUGGUGUAGCGGUGAAAUGCGCAGAUAUCAGGAGGAACACCAAUGGCGAAGGCAGCACUCUGGGGACGUGACUGACGCUGAGACGCGAAAGCGUGGGGAGCAAACAGG
rnacentral:rRNA from 1 species